AUGCUUUACACAUGCAAGUCGAACGGUGACAGUGAGCUUGCUCGGGGGAUUAGUGGCGAACGGGUGAGUAAUACAUCGGAACGUACCUUGUAAUGGGGGAUAACGUAGUCGAAAGAUACGCUAAUACCGCAUACGCCCUGAGGGGGAAAGUGGGGGAUCUCAAGGCCUCACGUUAUACGAGCGGCCGAUGUCGGAUUAGCUAGUUGGUGGGGUAAUGGCCUACCAAGGCGACGAUCCGUAGCGGGUCUGAGAGGAUGACCAGCCACACUGGGACUGAGACACGGCCCAGACUCCUACGGGAGGCAGCAGUGGGGAAUUUUGGACAAUGGGCGCAAGCCUGAUCCAGCCAUGCCGCGUGAGUGAAGAAGGCCUUCGGGUUGUAAAGCUCUUUCGGAUGGGAAGAAAUCGUAUCUUUUAACACAGUGUGUGGCUGACGGUACCUUGAUAAGAAGCACCGGCUAACUACGU
rnacentral:rRNA from 1 species